rnacentral:rRNA from 1 species
UACGUAGGCAGCGAGCGUUGUUCGGAAUUACUGGGCGUAAAGAGUGUGUAGGCGGUGCUCUAAGUUCGGUGUGAAAUCUCCUGGCUCAACUGGGAGGGUGCGCCGGAAACUGGAGUGCUUGAGCGUGGGAGAGGAAAGCGGAAUUCCUGGUGUAGCGGUGAAAUGCGUAGAUAUCAGGAGGAACACCUGUGGUGUAGACGGCUUU